CACCUGUUCCCAUGCCGAACACAGAAGUUAAGCUCUUUAGCGCCGAUGGUAGUCGGACUUACGUUCCGCGAGAGUAGGACGUUGCCAAGC
rnacentral:rRNA from 1 species